rnacentral:rRNA from 1 species
UACGUAGGGUGCGAGCGUUGUCCGGAAUUAUUGGGCGUAAAGAGCUCGUAGGCGGUCUGUCGCGUCGAUCGUGAAAACUUGGGGCUUAACCCUGAGCUUGCGGUCGAUACGGGCAUGACUGGAGUUCGGCAGUGAGACUGGAAUUCCUGGUGUAGCGGUGAAAUGCGCAGAUAUCAGGAGGAACACCGGUGGCGAAGGCGGGUCUCUGGGCCGAUACUGACGCUGAGGAGCGAAAGCGUGGGGAGCGAACAGG